AUCUGGUUGAUCCUGCCAGUAGUCAUAUGCUUGUCUCAGAGAUUGAACCAUGCAUGUCUAAUUACAUACCAUGAUACGGUGAAACCGCGAAUGGUUCAUUGAAUCAGCUAUGGUUCCUCGAAUCGUACAUACUACAUGGACAACUGCAGUAAUUCUAGAGCUAAUACAUGCCACUAUGCCCUGACCCGCGAAGGAACGGGUAGAUUUAUUAGAACAGAACCAACCGGGGGCGGCUUCGGUCGUCCCUGUUGCAUUCUGUGAUGACUCUGGAUAACUUCACUGAUCGCAGUCGGCCUUGUGUCGGCGACGGAUCUUUCAAAUGUCUGCCCUAUCAAUUUUCGAUGGUAGGUGACCUGCCUACCAUGGUGCUAACGGGUAACGGGGAAUCAGGGUUCGAUUCCGGAGAGGGAGCCUGAGAAACGGCUACCACUUCCAAGGAAGGCAGCAGGCACGCAAAUUACCCAAUCCCGGCACGGGGAGGUAGUGACGAAAAAUACGGAUAGGGACUCACUAGAGGCUCCGAAUGAGUACAAUUUAAAUCCUUUAACGAGGAUCAACUGGAGGGCAAGUCUGGUGCCAGCAGCCGCGGUAACUCCAGCUCCAGAAGCGUAUAUUAAAGUUGUUGCAGUUAAAAAGCUCGUAGUUGGAUCUGGGUCGCAUGGCUACAUGCCGUCGCUCGUGGGUCUGGCCUGGUUACUGCCGGGUUGAGCUUGCGAGUCGGUCUCGUGGUUGUGCUUCCUUUCUGCUGUGUCUGUUUACAGGUGUCAGCGUGACUGGUGGGCUUGCCUGCUAGUCUUUUGGCAUGCUUCUCGGUGCCUUUAAUCGGGUGUCGGAGGCGGACAUCACGUUUACUUCUGACAAAUUUGAGUGCUCAAAGCAGGCCUUUGUGCCUGAAAAUUCUUGCAUGGGAUAAUGGAAUAGGACUACGGUUCUAUUUUGUUGGUUUUCGGAUCCGAAGUAGUGGUUAAGAGAAACAGACGGGGGCAUUUGUAUGGCGGUGUUAGAGGUGAAAUUCUUGGAUCGCCGCCAGACAAACUACAGCGAAAGCAUUUGCCAAGGAUGUUUUCAUUGAUCUUGAGCGAAAGUCAGAGGUUCGAAGACGAUCAGAUACCGUCCUAGUUCUGACCAUAAACGAUGCCAACUGACGAUCCGUGGUGGUUCUUUAUGUGUCCCCACGGGCAGUCCCCGGCGUCUCUCGGCGUGUCUACGCGCCUCUAGUGCAGCUCGGCGCCGUAUUGCCGCCUGGCCGUGCGUCGGGCGUCUAUAGGCGUGUAUCGGCGCUCUAGUGCAGCCUCGGAAAAGCGUAUCUGCCCGACUCAGGCCGUGCGUACGGGCGUCUCUCGGGCGUGUCUCGGCGCCUCUCAGUGUAGCAAUCAGUGAGGCGUCAUCUGGCCCGCCUCGGCCGUGCGUACGGGCCGUCUAUACGGCGUGUCACUAGGCGCCUCUCAGUGUCCAGCUCGGAGCGGUAUCAUGCCCGCCUCAGGCCGUGCGUCCGCGGCCGUUUAUCUCAGGCGGUGUAUCGGGCCUCUCGUGUAGCAGGCGCGUCUCAUGCCCGCACAUACUGGCCGUGGCGUCGGGCCCGUCUAUCAGGCGUGUAUCGGCGCCUCUAGUGUAGCCUCGGAAGGUCUCUCCCGUCUGGCCGUGGCGUACGGGCGUCUUAUCGGCCUGGGUAUCGGGCGCCCUCAGUGGUACGCCUACGGAGCGUAUAAUGCCCAGACCUGCCCCGUGCGUCGGCCGUCUUCGCGCGUGUCCUAGGGCGCCUACUAUGUAAGCCCAUAGGAAGCGUCUAUGCCCUGCCUCGGCCGUGCGUACGGGCGUCUCUAGCGUGUCUCGGCGCCUCCUCGUGCCGGCCAUAACGGCGCGUUAUGCCAGCCUCGGCCGUGCGCUCCGGGCCGUACUUCUCGGCGUGUACUACGCGCUCUAGUGCAAGCCUCGGCGCGAUACUGCCCCGCAUAGGCCGUGCGUCGUCCGGGCCGUACAUCCAGGCGUGUAAAUCGGCGCCUACUAGUGCAGCCUAGGCCGCGUCUCUGGCAGCAUGGCCGUGCGUCCGGCCGUAUCUACGGCGUGUAUGCGCUCUAGUGUACGGCAUGGCGCGUAUAUCGCACGCAUAGUCCGUGCGUACGGGCCGUUAAUAGGCGUGUAUAAGGCGCCUCAUCGUGUCGCACUCGGCGCUCUUCAGCCUAAAGGCCGUGCGUCCGGGCCGUUAUAGGCGUGUCCAGGCGCCUAUCACGUGUCGCUCCAGGACGUAUCAUUGCCCGCACUGAGCCCGUGCGUACCGGGCCGUACUCGGCGUGUCUAAGGCGCCUCUAGUGUCCGCACUGGAGCGUAUCUGCCCGCUAGGCGUGCGUUACCGGGCCGUAUAAUAGGCGUGUUAGGCCGCUCUCGGUCAGCUAGGAAGCGUCUUGCAGCCAUCAGCGCAAGCUGCGUCCGGGCCGUACUCUAGGCGUGUCUCGCCCUAUCCGUGUAGCCAGCGCGUACUUGCCAGCCUAAGUCCGUGCGUACGGGCCCCCGUAAUCUAACGGCGUGUAUCGGCUGCCUUCGUGUCGAUAAGGAAGCGUAAUAAUGCCAGCCUCAAACGGCGGUGCGUACCGGGCCGUC
rnacentral:rRNA from 1 species